AGUAACACGUGGAUAACCUACCUAUAAGACUGGGAUAACUUCGGGAAACCGGAGCUAAUACCGGAUAAUAUUUUGAACCGCAUGAUUCAAAAGUGAGAGACGGUCUUGCUGUCACUUAUAGAUGGAUCCGCGCUGCAUUAGCUAGUUGGUAAGGUAACGGCUUACCAAGGCAACGAUGCAUAGCCGACCUGAGAGGGUGAUCGGCCACACUGGAACUGAGACACGGUCCAG
rnacentral:rRNA from 1 species